CAGUAACGGCGAGUGAAGCGGCAACAGCUCAAAUUUGAAAUCUGGCCUUCUGGUCCGAGUUGUAAUUUGCAGAGGAUGCUUUUGGCGAGGUGCCUUCCGAGUUCCCUGGAACGGGACGCCACAGAGGGUGAGAGCCCCGUCUGGUCGGACACCGAGCCUCUGUAAAGCUCCUUCGACGAGUCGAGUAGUUUGGGAAUGCUGCUCAAAAUGGGAGGUAUAUGUCUUCUAAAGCUAAAUAUUGGCCAGAGACCGAUAGCGCACAAGUAGAGUGAUCGAAAGAUGAAAAGCACUUUGAAAAGAGGGUUAAAAAGUACGUGAAAUUGUUGAAAGGGAAGCGCCUAUGACCAGACUUGGGCCCGGUGAAUCACCCAGCGUUCUCGCUGGGGCACUUUGCCGGGCACAGGCCAGCAUCAGUUUGGCGCGGGGGAGAAAGGCUUCGGGAAUGUGGCUCCCUCGGGAGUGUUAUAGCCCGCUGCGUAAUACCCUGCGCCGGACUGAGGUACGCGCAUCGCAAGGAUGCUGGCGUAAUGGUCAUCAGCGACCCGUCUUGAAACACGGACCAAGGAGUCGUCUUCGUAUGCGAGUGUUCGGGUGUCAAACCCCUACGCGUAAUGAAAGUGAACGCAGGUGAGAGCUUCGGCGCAUCAUCGACCGAUCCUGAUGUUCUCGGAUGGAUUUGAGUAAGAGCAUACGGGGCCGGACCCGAAAGAAGGUGAACUAUGCCUGUAUAGGGUGAAGCCAGAGGAAACUCUGGUGGAGGCUCGCAGCGGUUCUGACGUGC
rnacentral:rRNA from 1 species